UCUCAAAUCAGGUAGGACUACCCGCUGAACUUAAGCAUAUCAAUAAGCGGAGGAAAAGAAACUAACAAGGAUUCCCCUAGUAACGGCGAGUGAAGCGGGAAGAGCUCAAAUUUAAAAUCUGGCGGUGUAUUCCGUCCGAGUUGUAGUCUAGAGAAGCAUCAUCCGCGCUGGACCAUGUACAAGUCUCUUGGAACAGAGCGUCACAGAGGGUGAGAAUCCCGUCCUUGACAUGGACUCCCAGUGCUUUGUGUUGUGCUCUCGACGAGUCGAGUUGUUUGGGAAUGCAGCUCAAAAUGGGUGGUAAAUUCCAUCUAAAGCUAAAUAUUGGCGAGAGACCGAUAGCGAACAAGUACCGUGAGGGAAAGAUGAAAAGCACUUUGGAGAGAGAGUUAAACAGUACGUGAAAUUGUUGAAAUGGAAACGCUUGAAGUCAGUCGCGUUCUCUGGGAUUCAGCCUUGCUUCUGCUUGGUGCACUUCCUAGUCUACGGGCCAGCAUGGAUUUCGACCGAUGGAAAAAGGCUUGGGGAAUGUGGCACCUCCGGGUGUGUUAUGACCCCUCGUCGACAUACAUCGGUUGGGUAGCGGACCAUCGGUCGC
rnacentral:rRNA from 1 species